rnacentral:rRNA from 1 species
GACGAACGCUGGCGGCGUGCUUAACACAUGCAAGUCGAACGGAAAGGCCCUGCCUUUGUGGUGUGCUCGAGUGGUGAAAGGGUGUGUAACACGUGAGUAACCUGCCCUUGACUUUGGGAUAACUUCAGGCAACUGGGGCUAAUACCGGCUAGGAGCUCCUGCUGCAUGGUGGGGGUUGGAAAGUUUCGGCGGUUGGGGAUGGACUCGCGGGUUAUCAGCUAGUUGGUGGGGUAGUGGCUUACCAAGGCUUUGACGGGUAGCCGGCCUGAGAGGGUGACCGGCCACAUUGGGACUGAGAUACGGCCCAGACUCCUACGGGAGGCAGCGGUGGGGAGUAGUGCACAAUGGGCGGGAGCCUGAUGCAGCAACGCCGCGUGCGGGAUGACGACCUUCGGGUUGUAACCCACUUUCGCCUGUGACGAAGCGUGAGUAACGGUAAUGUGUAAAGAAGCACCGGCUAACUACGUG